AAACUUGGCGAGGGGAGAUACCAUAACCACAAAUGUGGUUUUCCCAGGGUGAGCUUAUCCAUUGCACUACAGAUGUGCUGACCCCUGCGAUUUCCCCAAAUGUGGGAAACUCGACUGCAUAAUUUGUGGUAGGGGGGACUGUGAUCGAGCUCUCCCACU